GAUGAACGCUAGCUACAGGCUUAACACAUGCAAGUCGAGGGGCAGCGGUAUCGAAAGCUUGCUUUCGGUAGCCGGCGACCGGCGCACGGGUGAGUAACGCGUAUCGAACCUGCCUCAUACUCGGGAAUAGCCUUGCGAAAGUAAGAUUAAUGCCCGGUGUUUUCAGAGUCCCGCAUGAGGCUUUGAACAAAGAUUUAUCGGUAUGAGAUGGCGAUGCGUCCCAUUAGCUUGUUGGCGGGGUAACGGCCCACCAAGGCAUCGAUGGGUAGGGGUUCUGAGAGGAAGGUCCCCCACAUUGGAACUGAGACACGGUCCAAACUCCUACGGGAGGCAGCAGUGAGGAAUAUUGGUCAAUGGGCGGAAGCCUGAACCAGCCAAGUAGCGUGCAGGAAGACGGCCCUCCGGGUUGUAAACUGCUUUUAGUUGGGAAUAAAACGGGGCUCGUGAGCCCCCUUGCAUGUACCAUCAGAAAAAGGACCAGCUAAUUCCGUG
rnacentral:rRNA from 1 species